CGAUAGGUUCUUUUCAGAACCACAUCAGCGCAUCCUUCUGGUAAUGU
rfam:Stegodyphus mimosarum contig32871, whole genome shotgun sequence.